rnacentral:rRNA from 1 species
AGUGAACGCUGGCGGCAGGCCUAACACAUGCAAGUCGAGCGGCAGCGGGUCCUUCGGGAUGCCGGCGAGCGGCGGACGGGUGAGGAAUGCGUCGGAAUCUGCCUUUUUGUGGGGGAUAACGUAGGGAAACUUACGCUAAUACCGCAUACGACCUACGGGUGAAAGUGGGGGACCGCAAGGCCUCACGCAGAAAGAUGAGCCGACGCCGGAUUAGCUAGUUGGCGGGGUAAAGGCCCACCAAGGCGACGAUCCGUAGCUGGUCUGAGAGGAUGAUCAGCCAAACGGGAACUGAGACACGGUCCAGACUCCGACGGGAGGCAGCAGUGGGGAAUAUUGGACAAUGGGCGCAAGCCUGAUCCAGCCAUGCCGCGUGUGUGAAGAAGGCCUUCGGGUUGUAAAGCACUUUUGUCCGGAAAGAAAUCCAAUCGAUUAAUACUCGGUUGGGAUGACGGUACCGGAAGAAUAAGCACCGGCUAACUUCGUGCCAGCCGCCGCCGUAACAC